rnacentral:tRNA from 1 species
GAGGACGUUGCCAGUGGGUACUGGACGCUGCCUUUCAAGCAGUCGAGUGGCCAAGUCAGCCAUUACGGUUCGAGUCCGUCGUCCUCCGCA